rnacentral:lncRNA from 1 species
GUGUUAUCUUCUGGGCCAGACUGAUGCACUGUAUGAUUAUGCAUGCCAUCCUGUACCAACUCAGCUUGAACUGGAGACAAUGGCAACAGAAAAUGUUAACACUCAUGAUCUCAUGAGAAAAUGAAGCUGCCAUUUCACAACCAGGUCCACCAGAAGUUACUGCUUUAUAUGUCAUGAUGGAAGGCACUACAAUUGUGGCAUUAAAACAAGAAGCUGUAAUACAUCAUGAGAAAUGUGGAAGUCCCUAUGACAGGUGCAAAGCAAGAUACAGGGGAAUGGCCUUUCCUGCCUUAGGAGUGACACAAGCACAGCAGCUUCUGCUGCUCAGCUUCCAUUCAAAGCCUAAGCAAAG